rnacentral:rRNA from 1 species
AUGCAGCCAUGCCGCGUGUAUGAAGAAGGCCUUCGGGUUGUAAAGUACUUUCAGCGGGGAGGAAGGGAGUAAAGUUAAUACCUUUGCUCAUUGACGUUACCCGCAGAAGAAGCACCGGCUAACUCCGUGCCAGCAGCCGCGGUAAUACGGAGGGUGCAAGCGUUAAUCGGAAUUACUGGGCGUAAAGCGCACGCAGGCGGUUUGUUAAGUCAGAUGUGAAAUCCCCGGGCUCAACCUGGGAACUGCAUCUGAUACUGGCAAGCUUGAGUCUCGUAGAGGGGGGUAGAAUUCCAGGUGUAGCGGUGAAAUGCGUAGAGAUCUGGAGGAAUACCGGUGGCGAAGGCGGCCCCCUGGACGAAGACUGACGCUCAGGUGCGAAAGCGUGGGGAGCAAACAGGAUUAGAAACCCUAGUAGUCCC